GUAAAACGCGACCCGCAACCCUUGAGAAGCAACGCGAGAUCAAGCUAAAGGGAUUUCCAAUCACUAGGUUUUGAAUUCAGAAUGUUCGGUCGAAGCAGGUUCCUCUCGUUUCCCAUGGUAAUUGGUGCUGUCAUCAUUGGUGUUGUUUCUGGGAAAGCAAUAUUUGGGCCACCUCUUGAUGAAUACUGGAAAAAGAAGCUAGACGAAGAGGCAACCGCGAAGGAGACAGGCACUACCAG
rnacentral:misc_RNA from 1 species